UACGGAGGGUGCAAGCGUUAUCCGGAUUCACUGGGUUUAAAGGGUGCGUAGGAGGGCAGGGAAGUCAGUGGUGAAAUCUCCGGGCUUAACUCGGAAACUGCCGUUGAUACUCUCUGUCUUGAAUCCCGUGGAGGUGAGCGGAAUAUGUCAUGUAGCGGUGAAAUGCUUAGAUAUGACAUAGAACACCAAUUGCGAAGGCAGCUCGCUACACGAAUAUUGACUCUGAGGCACGAAAGCGUGGGGAUCAAACAGG
rnacentral:rRNA from 1 species